GAUGAACGCUGGCGGCGUGCUUAACACAUGCAAGUCGAACGGAGUGGCGAACGGGUGAGUAACACGUGAGCAACUGCCCCUGACUUUGGGAUAAGCACUGGAAACGGCGUCUAAUACCGGAUAGGGAUGAGCUCGCGGCCUAUCAGCUAGUUGGUGAGGUAAUGGCUCACCAAGGCGUCGACGGGUAGCCGGCCUGAGAGGGGACCGGCCACACUGGGCUGAGACACGGCCCAGACUCCUACGGGAGGCAGCAGUGGGGAAUAUUGCACAAUGGGCGCAAGCCUGAUGCAGCAACGCCGCGUGAGGGACGACGGCCUUCGGGUUGUAAACCUCUUUUAGCAGGGAAGCGGUACCUGCAGAAAAAGCACCGGCUAACUACGUGCCAGCAGCCGCGGUAAUACGUAGGGUGCAAGCGUUAUCCGGAAUUAUUGGGCGUAAAGAGCUCGUAGGCGGUUUGUCGCGUCUGCUGUGAAAACUGGGGGCUCAACCCCCAGCCUGCAGUGGGUACGGGCAGACUAGAGUGCGGUAGGGGAGAUUGGAAUUCCUGGUGUAGCGGUGGAAUGCACAGAUAUC
rnacentral:rRNA from 1 species